rnacentral:rRNA from 1 species
AUUGAACGCUGGCGGCAGGCCUAACACAUGCAAGUCGAACGGUAACAGGAAGAAGCUUGCUUCUUUGCUGACGAGUGGCGGACGGGUGAGUAAUGUCUGGGAAACUGCCUGAUGGAGGGGGAUAACUACUGGAAACGGUAGCUAAUACCGCAUAAUGUCGCAAGACCAAAGAGGGGGACCUUCGGGCCUCUUGCCAUCGGAUGUGCCCAGAUGGGAUUAGCUAGUAGGUGGGGUAACGGCUCACCUAGGCGACGAUCCCUAGCUGGUCUGAGAGGAUGACCAGCCACACUGGAACUGAGACACGGUCCAGACUCCUACGGGAGGCAGCAGUGGGGAAUAUUGCACAAUGGGCGCAAGCCUGAUGCAGCUAUGCCGCGUGUAUGAAGGAGGCCUUCGGGUUGUAAAGUACUUUCAGCGGGGAGGAAGGGAGUAAAGUUAAUACCUUUGCUCAUUGACGUUACCCGCAGAAGAAGCACCGGCUAACUCCGUG